CCAUCUUUGUAUCAUUACUAUUAUUAUUAUUAUCAUUAACUGUUAUUAACCUAAGCCCAAACACCACAAAUUAAUUGUGAUGGAAGCAAAGACUUAGAAAAGGCCCGGGAAAUGAAGGAAUUGAAGAAACAGAGGCAGCUGCCAAAUCAGACUGGAGGCCAACUUAUUAAAAGCCUACAAGCAAUGGAGCCAGCUGACCAUGUACUGAAACUUCCAAAACGAUCUGAAUCCUCCCUUCAUCCUAACAAUUCCAUGGAGAGCUAAAAUACAGCGCAAACUGGACUAUUGACUUCAGCAUUCUGGUCAGAAGGUUAGGAGACAGAAAUGUACUUAAAAAGAAAUCACAUAUGACAGACUACAAAGCAAUAGAAGAGAUAUGAAAGCUGAAUUUGCCUCUCCAGCCCAAGGUUCAUUUUUUGAAUGUCUUUGUGCACUCAUAGUGGCUGAAACUGGCAGCUACCAGAUACCACCCGCUUGAUCUCCAUCCCGCAUUUUCUCCAGCUCCAUUCUUAAACUCUUCUCCCUUCUGAGAUUUCAGCUUCUUGUGUUUCUCUUUUCCUUGUGGCCUUCUACAAUCUUCCGCUCACACAUAACUCAUUGUUUUAAAAAUCUAGGUGCAUUAUUAUUCGAAUAUGGUGAGGCGAACUGUCACUGAAAAGACAGUUUGCUGUACACUCAGACCCCAGGAGAAGGGGCACAUCUUGCCACAGGCAGGUUGCAGAAUAAUAAAGAGGCACGAGGGAUGGUCAGGAAGCAGAGGGAGCUGGAGGAAACAUGGGUACAAAUCUUGGUUGUGUUUUCCACAGGAAGGAAUAUGCAAAGCAUGGUAGGCUGUUGUAGGAUUGGCUAGCUCCUCUGGGACGUAGGAGCUGUCCCUGGCUGUCUAUUACCUGGUUCUGGGGUGGUCAGGGAAGGUGGAUGUUGGCCCAGACUGUAAAGAGCUUGAUAAAGGAGUUGAUCAUUGUGUGGGUGCUGGGGUAGUUUGCACAUGAAAGGAUUCCUAGAAAUUGACUAACUCUGGGAAGGGCAGUGUCUCCAGAGUUAGCCGGGCCCUAGGACAGUGAUGGCAAAGCUUUCAGAUGGUGAACCUUUUAGAGCCCAAGUGCCCAAACUGCAACCUAAAAACCCACUUACUUAUCACAAAGUCCCCAAACUGCAAUUAAACCUGAAUACUGAGGUUUUCAUUUAGGAAAAACAACUCAGACACUUGGUGCCGACAGAGAGGGCACUGCUUCUCCACUGCAGCAUGCCUGCCAGAGGUUCACCACCACUGCCCUAGGAUAUUAAAGCAUCGGAAUAAAAGAGCAUGGUUCACACACAUGUAUUCUUUAGAGAAUAG
ensembl:lncRNA